UACAGAGGUCUCAAGCGUUGUUCGGAUUCAUUGGGCGUAAAGGGUGCGUAGGCGGCGCGGUAAGUCGGGUGUGAAAUCUUGGAGCUUAACUCCGAAACUGCAUCCGAUACUGCCGUGCUUGAGGACUGGAGAGGAGACUGGAAUUUACGGUGUAGCGGUGAAAUGCGUAGAUAUCGUAAGGAAGACCAGUGGCGAAGGCGGGUCUCUGGACAGUUCCUGACGCUGAGGCACGAAGGCCAGGGGAGCAAACGGG
rnacentral:rRNA from 1 species